CACGGGUACUUGUACCUGGUGGCGAGUGGCGAACGGGUGAGUAAUACAUCGGAACGUACCUUAUCGUGGGGGAUAACGCAGCGAAAGCUGUGCUAAUACCGCAUACGCCCUGAGGGGGAAAGCGGGGGAUCGAAAGACCUCGCGCGAUUAGAGCGGCCGAUGCUUGAUUAGCUUGUUGGUGGGGUAAAAGCCCACCAAGGCGACGAUCAAUAGCUGGUCUGAGAGGACGAUCAGCCACACUGGGACUGAGACACGGCCCAGACUCCUACGGGAGGCAGCAGUGGGGAAUUUUGGACAAUGGGGGCAACCCUGAUCCAGCAAUGCCGCGUGAGUGAAGAAGGCCUUCGGGUUGUAAAGCUCUUUUGUCAGGGAAGAAACACCGGCUCUAACACAGUCCGGGAAUGACGGUACCUGAAGAAUAAGCACCGGCUAAC
rnacentral:rRNA from 1 species